rnacentral:lncRNA from 1 species
CAGUUCAUUAGCUAAUGUCUCCAACAGAUCUUUUCUCCUCACACAACGACUUUCAUACUCAACACUGCAACGUAAUAUAACUGACUUUAGAUGACUAUUGACUUCAAAAAUAAAAAUGUUGGCUGACGAAUGAUCAGUCCAUCCAAUAGUCGGAAGGAAGACAUACUCAACCACGUUAUUCAAAAUGAACUUAAUUUCAUUGUUGAAAUCAUAGGGAUUUGGACAUUAAAACCACGUCACUCUGUACUUGUGAACAAUACAAAAAAUUGGGUAUGUAGCAUCCUCUGAAUNNNN